AUAAAAUCAGUAGAAAAAGGUUUCGGGUCAAAAGAAUGUAUAAAACUCAUUUUAUGGCUUAAACGGUCAAAACCGGCAUUAACCGAAUCGACUUAGCGAUCUAUGAUCCGAUCAGCCAAAAAUUAAAUAAAAAUCAUCAAAAUUCCCAAAUUAAUAUAUAACAUCAGUGGGUAAAAAGUUUUGUAUCAAAACGUGGCCUGAAAUGGGUUAUACGCGAAAUGCGCCGCUUAUGUAAUAAUAAGAUAUAGUUUUACGAUAUCGGCCAUAACUCAAAUUCUGGACCACCAACUGAUCUCAAAUUUUCGGUGCAAGUUUAUAAAUUAGAAAUAAAGAUCUCUACUCUUUCACUUUUCCAAAAAUCACGUUUUAUAUCAAAAAGGAGAGUUUUACCAAAAUAAAAAUGGUCAAAACUGGAAACCUGAGUUUGAAACUUUAGUUUACUGUUAUAAUAUAAAAAUUUACU
rnacentral:lncRNA from 1 species